rnacentral:rRNA from 1 species
UACGGAGGGGCUAGCGUUGUUCGGAAUUACUGGGCGUAAAGCGCGCGUAGGCGGCUUUGUAAGUUAGAGGUGAAAGCCCGGAGCUUAACUCCGGAAUUGCCUUUAAGACUGCAUCGCUAGAAUUGUGGAGAGGUAAGUGGAAUUCCGAGUGUAGAGGUGAAAUUCGUAGAUAUUCGGAAGAACACCAGUGGCGAAGGCGGCUCACUGGACUGGUAUUGACGCGUGAGGUGCGAAA